UGAACUUAAAAGUUUGGCGGUAAUUAGUUUUAUAGAGGAGUAUGUAAUUUUUAUCGACAAUACACGAGUGAGCUUACUUGAAAAUACUUAUAUACCUCCGUUGUUAGAUUUUAUUAUAUGGAUAAGUUUCUUAACAAUAAAUAUUAAUACUCCAGGUCAAGGUGUAGUUUAAUCAAGAUAUUAUGUAUUAUAAUCAUAAAAUAUUGAAACAGAUUGAUACUUGUAAUAGGUUAAAAAGGUAAAUUUAUAGGUAAAGAGAAAAUAAUUUGUUUUUUUGARAGUUUACUGGUUAUGUACACAU
rnacentral:rRNA from 1 species